rnacentral:rRNA from 1 species
UACGUAGGGGGCAAGCGUUGUCCGGAAUCAUUGGGCGUAAAGCGCGUGUAGGCGGCUUGAUAAGUCCGCUCUGAAAGCCCGGGGCUCAACCCCGGGAGGCGGGUGGAUACUGUCAAGCUCGAGUCCGGAAGAGGCGAGUGGAAUUCCUGGUGUAGCGGUGAAAUGCGCAGAUAUCAGGAGGAACACCAAUGGCGAAGGCAGCUCGCUGGGACGUGACUGACGCUGAGGAGCGAAAGCGUGGGUAGCAAACAGG